GACGAACGCUGGCGGCGUGCCUAAUACAUGCAAGUAGGACGCAGUUGCGAACGGGUGAGUAACGCGUCGGUAACUGCCUAUUAGAGGGGGCUAACUAUUGGAAACGAUAGCUAAUACCGCAUACUAGUAGAUGGACCUGCGUUGUAUUAGCUAGUAGGUAGGGUAAUGGCCUACCUAGGCGACGGUACAUAGCCGACCUGGGAGGGUGGACGGCCCAAAUGGGAAUGGGAAACGGGCCCAGAUCCUACGGGGGGCAGCAGGAGGGAAUCGUCGGCAAUGGGGGGAACCCUGAACGAGCAACGGCGCGGGAGGGAAGAAGGGUUUCGGAGCGUAAAGGUCUGUUGUGAAGGAAGCGGUACUUAACCAGAAAGGGACGGCUAACUCCGUGCCAGCAGCCGCGGUAAUAC
rnacentral:rRNA from 1 species